AGCCUGCCCAGUGACCCAGUUCAACGGCCGCGGUAUCCUAACCGUGCGAAGGUAGCGUAAUCACUUGUUCUUUAAAUGAGGACUAGUAUGAAUGGCAUCACGAGGGUUAUACUGUCUCCUUUUUCUAAUCAAUGAAACUAAUCUCCCCGUGAAGAAGCGGGGAUAUGUAUAUAAGACGAGAAGACCCUAUGGAGCUUCAAACUAUUUAGCAUUGGCUUUUAUAUAUCUCUACUUCAGAGUUUUUACACUUAUUCUAGCCUCUUGACUAAUAGUUUUAGGUUGGGGUGACCACGGAGCAAAAAUUAACCUCCACGAAGAACAGAGCUACUCUUGAACCAAAAGCCACAACUUUAAGCACCAAUAAACUGACACAAAUUGACCCAAUAUUUUGAACAACGAACCAAGUUACCCUAGGGAUAACAGCGCAAUCCACCUUAAGAGCCCCUAUCGACAGGUGGGUUUACGACCUCGAUGUUGGAUCAGGGUAUCCCAGUGGUGCAGCCGC
rnacentral:rRNA from 1 species